CAUUUCCGCAAGCGAUGUCGUCGUCCUGAACACGGGACCUUCACUCAGCGGGUGGGCGGGAAGGUGUGUGUACCGCCCCCGCCCACUUGCCACCCACUUACCACCCACCAUCCACCCGCAAAGUCGUGUUUGUGGCCGCAGAGCUGUGUUUACAGCCCAUUAUUGUAAGGGGCGGCUCCAGUGUCACCAUGAUUGUUUUAGCCACCGACUAACUGUUGUGGCCGCGUAUUUAGCGCAGUUACCGGGCCAAAACGAAUCCGAAUCCACACAGCCCGUAAUUGUGAUUUGUGUUGUAAACUACGAGUGCUUUUCAGCUGCACUCGCAGUUGCAUGCCACAAUUAGCACCAUUGUAGCGGGCACUUAACGUGUUCCGCUUAUCUCGAUAUCUGCACGGACUAUGAACUACGGACUUGCAUUCACGGACCCACUGAAUAUCCUCACUCGAGCCUGACCGCCAAAACUCAAGAACGGAAGCCACCAAACCGGAAGCUUCCAUUUUGUUUCUACCCCCGAAACGAGUGUCCAAGAAUUUGUUAAAGAAGCUCAUGCAACAAAUUACUUAGUGAAAAGAAAUCUACAAGCUUGAAAAUAAAAAACAACAUUAAGUAAGUACAUUAAAAUAAUAAUUUUAUUCAAAUUUAAAUUUAUUAUUUAAAUUCAUAUGCCAGCCUAUCGAUUUUAUAACUGAUUACUAAAUACACAAUCGCAUUUGUUUGUUUGUCUACAGAGAGAAGCUUUGAUAUUUCCUGUUAGUUGUAGUUUUUUAUGGAAUGUAGUAUUUAUUAUUAUUUUUUUUUAGGCCCAAGAAUUUAGUUUAUUUUUAUUUAGAACUUAUUUUUCUCAGUAAGGAACGAAUUGUUAGCACUUUCUGUCGGCUUGACCGACCUGCUAAUGUGAACCAUAAAUGUGUGAAAGUCGAGCAACUGCCACGCCCAGUCUUGAUGGGCCAUAUCUAAUGCCGCCCCCGCUUUUCUGUAUGAUUUUUUUUUUUUUUUGUUAUUUUGUGGUGUUUUUGCUGCUAGGCGGAAAUGUCGUAAAUCAUAUUCCAGCAUUUACAUACAUUUUACGAGUUGAAGAGCCGCCCGAGGGCAGGCAAAGCCAAUGCGAAAGCAAAAGCCACUCCCCUGCCAACUUGGCUUUUUUUUUUUUUGGUUUCGUGGGGGGUUUCCCCAGCUCAGUUCGCCCGCUGGCCGAGCUUCUAAGUGUGGAUUUUAUGUAUUUGUUUAUGGGAAAAUUAGGGAAAUGGCUUUUACUCAGUUUUUCGGACCGCGGAGAGCGAAAGAGAGAGCGAGAGCUUAGGUGCCAAAGGUUACAAUUAUGAAGUUUACACACCAUUUGCCAUGGGGUGGCUUGGCUUUCAAUUAGUUGGCUACGGACAUGUAGGAACAGCAAUUCAUUAUCAACACCUUUGUUACAGCAAAUUAAGCCUCAAGGUCCAAAAUUAAUAAAAUGCAAAUUAGCCAGCAACUAAAAAGCAACCCCAAAAAAAUGAAAGAAAAACAAAAAAAACGAGACAAGAAACCUAUAACUUUGAUCUUAUCGCCAGCUGACAACACUCCCCCAGUUGACUAUCUUUUAUUAGUUGAUUAAUUCAUAACUCAGCCCGUGCACCUUUCCUCCAAAAAGGGGAUUAACUUGUUUCAAUGCCUUGCCGACCAUUUCAGCUGCCCCGAAAUAUUAAUGAAGUUGUGGAAAAUGUUGUUUAACGGAAAAAGAGAGCGAAAUAUCUUGGCCUGCAAGGGGUUGCACCAUGAAAAUUGCAAUUGCCACGCAUCCUCUGAAGUCAGGCUACUGUCCUUCCAAUAUCCUGCGGCGGCCGAGAACUCAAACACGGCUAAUAUGCGUGAAGCGUUUGUCGCAAAAUAUUGACAAACUCCGGGUAUUUUCGAGGGGUCAACAAACAAUUAGCCCGCCUGCCCGACUGCUGAUUUUUGCCUCUUUUGUCUUUCGAAAAUGCCAACCUCAAAACCGCUGACAGCGUGACAAAAUCGCAAACCACGUGAUAUUUUAUUUCAACAACCGCACGCACAAAGAAAACCAUCCCAACCUGACCACGUAACAGUCUUCGUUUCCCACUUUUUCAAGUUUCAAAUGUGUUGGCAAUUUGCGGCAGUUUCUGGCUGUUUUUCACGGUUUCCUUCUGAUGACAGCCACGCAUGCGCAUUUGCAUGUGGAGUCGACAUUUUCACAGCUGCCGAGGAGAAUUGCCUUUCGAAUGGGUAAAAAAGGCGAAAAUGGGUAUGUGUGAUGGAAAGAAAAAUAGCCAGUUACUACAGCUUACUGUAAAAAAAGCAUAUUAAUAAGGUAACUCAAUUGAUUUAAAAUUUUUAGGGGGUUAAAGAUGGAUUCGAGAAUUUUGUUUAAGUUUUUUCAGCUUAUAAAGAAGAACCUUUAAAUUAUUCUGUUAUAUUAAUUUGUAAAAUAUUUAAAAAAAAUUUGUAAAUUGAAAACUUGAUAGCAAAU